GGGCUCCCUGACACAGUGGGAAAACUGCUGCUACAGUGAGUCUCAGUUAUCCAGUUAAUAAGAAGUCUGAUUAUUCUCACCAGGAGACUUGGGUCAAAACACUACCAUGGAAAAUUCAUAGGAGGAAGUAUCAAUUUUUUUAUUGUUACCUUUAUAAACCCAGACUUCUAAGAGGAAUUCAAUGUUGAUAAAGGAAAUGAGAGAAAAGCUUAGCUAAAACUUAAGACAUUGAAAUUUCGGUCAUAAUAGUAUUUUUGCUGCUUCUAAAUAAGCAUAGCCAUUAAAAAUUAAUCCAGUAAUAGUUUUAAAAAUUAUGCUAAAUCUCAAAAACAAUUGGAUAAAAAUCUAGUUAUUAAAUUUAAUUUUCUUACAUUGUAGAGACAAGGCAAAUGUUAACAUCUUGUGUACUGUUGAACUCUUUUACAAUCUUGAGUCUUUCCUCUGAUUUUGUACUUCCAUCAAGUCGUCGGUAAUCAAGCCCAGACGCCAUACAGUACUGCUGUAGCACGUCAAGCAACUAGACGAGAGGUAUGAAGAUGGGCAAACAUGAAUCUUGGUUAAGUAAGUUUCAGACCAUUACAAAGUUGAGACUUGUUAAGUAUU
rnacentral:lncRNA from 1 species